rnacentral:piRNA from 1 species
UCCACCUAAGUAGUAAGCCGCAUGAG